rnacentral:rRNA from 1 species
CCCUUAGAUGUUCUGGGCAGCACGCGCGCUACAAUGGUCUUCGAAAACGGAUGCAUUCUCGAAGGAGAAUGCCAAUCUUGGAAUCUAUGCCUUGGUCGGGACAGUUGCUUGCAAUUUUUCGACUCGAACCAGGAAUUCCUUGUAAUCGUGAUUCAUCACAUCACGAUGAAUACGUCCCUGCCCUUUUUACACACCGCCCGUCGCUCCUACCGAUCGAAGAGUUAGGUGAAUUGUUUUGAUCGAUAAGAUUUGACUAUGGUCAACUCUCGUUGUGAAAUUCUGUGAAUCUGACUGUUUAGAGGAAGGAAAAGUCGUAACA